ACACACACCUUUUCGACUUGAUCCAGGGCAAUGGCAGCAUCUGUCCAGCUCGGCCUGACCAAUAGAUUGGACAUAUGCCUCUCGUCGACAUCGUACUAGCACUAGAACUAGCACCAAUAGGGCGUCCCGCUAGGAUCCCUGUAGGCUCGGACUCAGAGACCAUGAUCUGUCAUGCAUCUGCUGCUUGCUCCCACGUAUCACUUUAAAAUUAUUAUCCACCAGAUUUGCACCCUCUAUAUCACGUACCUUCGAUAAUAAUACACCACGUGUCCGCACACACUCGUGUUCCUGAUAAUAUCCAAUUUUAAUCGUGGUGAUAGCUGGUGCUCAAACAUUCAAUCCAAGUUCUGGAGCUUGAUAAUAAAUUUUACGUCACUUUUCACAACUUUGUUUACACUGAGCACACACUAGCACAUUUAAAAAUAAGUAUUUGAAUUUUCCCGCGGUUUGUUUUUAAAUUAAAUUAAAAACUUUAUUUUACUUAAACAACCACAGGUCGGUUGAUGGUGAUGCUGGUGAUACUGUUGAUACUGUUGAUGCUGCUGCUGCUGCUGCUGCUGCUGCAGCAUUCACAAAAAGAAUAAGAGGAAGCGGCGAGAAAAAGAGAAAAAUCCAGAUGAAGCUUGUGUGGUAUUUUGUGAGUGUGUGUGUCUGUGUACGUGACGCACUGUGUUAAUAUUAAGUGUAAGGCUGUAGUCAGCCUUUCUCACUUUCUGUAUUUAAUCCACACUUAACUCCUAUUUACUAUCAGUUAAAAUAUUUUUAAAUCAAUAUUUAAUAAAUGACAAAUCCGAGGAUUUAAAUAUCGAGUAAUUAAAAACUCCGGUAAGUAAAAACACGUAACUUUAGCAGUAAAUAAUUUAAAAAAUAGCGAUCAGAUGUGUUGAGCGCGUGGAUAACCUCACACGACUCGCGCGCUUAGCCGUCAAAGUUGGUACUGAAGGAAGCUCUCGGGCACUCUCUGGAGCUGUUGCUCGCUGCUACAUUUCUUUCGUAGUCGUGUAGGCUCACUCCAACAACUCCAACUCCAACACGGCUUUCAGCGCCAGCCAUAGUUGAUAUUUCUUCCCCACUACUUACUUUCCUCUCCUUCAUCUCGCUCAAGCACACGCUCCAGGAAUCCAAGCUCUCCCUUGGAUAAAACAUGUCGUCAGUUGUGCGUCACAGCAGGAUCGUAUCCUUCAGGUACCCGAAACUCCAAAUUUUCUCUUCAGAGGAAUUUUUAACUUUAGGAUCUGUAAAAAAAUAUAUUUUCACGAGAUAAAAGUAACAAGAGGCUCGGGUAAAAGCAGUGCUCUGCACUGUCUCUCCACACAACUUAAACUAAGAUCGUGAUGAUAAGACAGGAGUACUAACACCAGCUUACAGGAGAGCUGAUGAAGGAGAGAGAAAGUAAUCGCACGCGAGGAUUAUCCAGAUGACGAUGCGGUUUAUAUAUUAUACAUCCAAGUUGGAACUAAUAACAAUUUGAAUCUAUAUAAACUAUGUAGGGAUAUAUAAUUAUUAUUGUGAUAUUACCGAGAAUUGUGCUGCUCAACGUGUUCGCACGUAUUACUAAGAGAAAAUAUAUAUAAGAAGUUAAUAAAAAAAGGCUGAAAAAAUAUAAAAACACUACUGGCUUGAUGCGCGCACUGAUCGCCGUCCACGUGUGUGGUCCUCGUCGCAACUCUCCUGUAUACCACACAUUAUAAUAAUAAUUAUAAUAAUAUAAACAAGAGUAUAAAGAUGAAGGUAAAGGACAACUAGAAUUUGAAAAUUGCAGACGUCAAAAGAAGAACCUUCAUAACUAGAAUUAGAUCGAGUAGAAAAAUUGCACUGACAAGACAUAUGUUUUAUUCAACAUUUAAGCUUUAUCAAUUAAUAAGUUAUAAUACACCACUAAUUAAUUAUUUCUUCUUUGAUUUUUAGACAGUGUGACAUUUUAAAGCCUACGCUCAUAUUAUCAAGACUAUUGUUUUUUAAAAAAGUUUAUUAAAUUAUACAUCUGCAUGAGCUCAAUUAUAUGUAGAUUAUAGUUGAUACCAUCUAGCUAGCUGGAGGUUCAUAGAAGAAAAAAAAAAACAGAUCCCGGCAAAGUUAAUUUUCAUUAAUGAAUAUUCGGUCGACUAUAAUGCUCAAUAAAAAAAUUUUAUUGACUGAAACCCGGGUAAUUGGGACAGAGUCAUUAAUUAAGAGGCAUUUGCUUUAGAAUUAAAAAUUUAUUUACUCUACCAAGCGGAGGCUUUUACUCUGACUGUCAGGAUAGGAGGAUUGUAUGUAAAAUAGCUCGAACAGAAUCCAAGUAUGUAAUAGCUAAAAUAAUUAUUCUGGAUGAAAGCUAAGUACGGGCGAAUCCGCGCAAAGACAACAUAACACGUUGAUACGGUUAUAGCCGAGUUAUAUAGCAAGCCUCGGAGAGAGAAGUUAUACCUGUAUAGGCUGGGCGCGCGUAGACCACACACAGAGCGUCGCUCAAAGAACGAGCGCGGGCUCGGGUAAUACAUGGUACGAGUGGAGCUUGGGCUAGCGCAGAUGCAGUGGCCCAUAAACAGCGAGCGGCAGACCACCCAACGCGCGUUAAGAAGAGACUUUCUGAGUUGGUUCGUUCCUCGUCCCCGAAUUCGUUCGCUGCGCUUGCCUGCCUGCUUUACUUUACUCUUUCCAUUAUAUUGCUACACACUAUACACUAACACAAAGACCUCUCAGGGGGACUGUGAAAUUGUACUAUUCUAUUUGCGCGUCAAGAAAGAUGGGGGCGAAGAAUAAAAGUUGACAUCCAUUUUUAACGUCCCUUUUUUCCGACAACCUUUAGCUUUUUUUUUAUUCUUCUCCUCACUUUUUUCUUCUUUUAAUACUUCUAAGUAAAAUCAUUUAUAAAUACUUGCACAGCAUAAGCACAUACCUACAAUAAGCACCAAACUCAUAAUGCCGAGACAUGUCUGCUUGAAUUUUGCCGGCGGGCUUUACUUCGAGAGAUAAAAUUUUUUAAUGCUGAAUCAUCUCGCAACCAGUACAACACACAAAGAAUACUAUAUGCUACAUGGAAUUCCGGGAAGACUGGCUGGGGAAGAUAUCUUGGGCC